rnacentral:rRNA from 1 species
GACCUGAUGCAGCCAUGCCGCGUGUGUGAAGAAGGCCUUCGGGUUGUAAAGCACUUUCAGUUGUGAGGAAAGGUUGGUAGUUAAUACCUGCCAGCUGUGACGUUAACAACAGAAGAAGCACCGGCUAACUCCGUGCCAGCAGCCGCGGUAAUACGGAGGGUGCGAGCGUUAAUCGGAAUUACUGGGCGUAAAGCGCACGCAGGCGGUUUGUUAAGCUAGAUGUGAAAGCCCCGGGCUCAACCUGGGAUGGUCAUUUAGAACUGGCAGACUAGAGUCUUGGAGAGGGGAGUGGAAUUCCAGGUGUAGCGGUGAAAUGCGUAGAUAUCUGGAGGAACAUCAGUGGCGAAGGCGGCUCCCUGGCCAAAGACUGACGCUCAUGUGCGAAAGUGUGGGUAGCGAACAGGAUUAGAUACCCUGGUAGUCCACACCGUAAACGCUGUCUACUAGCUGUUUGUGAAUUUAAUUCGUGAGUAGCGAAGCUAACGCGCUAAGUAGACCGCCUGGGGAGUACGGCCGCAAGGUUAAAACUCAA